AUUGAACGCUGGCGGCAGGCUUAACACAUGCAAGUCGAGCGGAGCGGCGGACGGGUGAGUAAUGCCUAGGAAUCUGCCUGGGAGUGGGGGAGAAAGUCCGGAAACGGGCGCUAAUACCGCAUACUAUCAGAUGAGCCUAGGUCGGGUUAGCUAGGUGGUGGGGUAAAGGCCUACCCUGGCGACGAUCCGGAACCGGUCUGAGAGGAUGAUCAGUCCCACUGGAACGGGGACACGGUCCAGGCUCCUACGGGAGGCAGCAGUGGGGAAUAUUGGACAAUGGGCGAAAGCCUGAUCCAGCCAUGCCGCGUGUGUGAAGAAGGUCUUCGGAUUGUAAAGCACUUUAAGUUGGGAGGCGUUACCAGCAGAAGAAGCACCGGCUAACUUCGUGCCAGCAGCCGCGGUAAUAC
rnacentral:rRNA from 1 species